rnacentral:rRNA from 1 species
CCUACGGGAGGCUGCAGUGAGGAAUAUUGGUCAAUGGCCGGAAGGCUGAACCAGCCAAGCCGCGUGAAGGAAGAAGGAUCUAUGGUUUGUAAACUUCUUUUGUAGGGGAAUAAAGGUAUCCACGUGUGGAUAUUUGCAUGUACCCUAUGAAUAAGCAUCGGCUAACUCCGUGCCAGCCGCCGCGGUAAUACGGAGGAUGCGAGCGUUAUCCGGAAUUAUUGGGUUUAAAGGGUGCGUAGGUUGUUUUUUAAGUCAGAGGUGAAAGUUUGUGGGUCAACCAUAAAAUUGCCGUUGAAACUGGAAGACUUGAGGGUGUUUGAGGUAGGCGGAAUGCGUGGUGUAGCGGUGAAAUGCAU